UACGUAGGGUGCGAGCGUUGUUCGGAUUCAUUGGGCGUAAAGGGUGCGUAGGCGGCGCGGUAAGUCGGGUGUGAAAUCUCGGAGCUUAACUCCGAAACUGCAUUCGAUACUGCCGUGCUUGAGGACUGGAGAGGAGACUGGAAUUUACGGUGUAGCGGUGAAAUGCGUAGAUAUCGUAAGGAAGACCAGUGGCGAAGGCGGGUCUCUGGACAGUUCCUGACGCUGAGGCACGAAGGUCAGGGGAGCAAACGGG
rnacentral:rRNA from 1 species